rnacentral:rRNA from 1 species
ACUCAAAUGAAUUGACGGGGACCCGCACAAGCGGUGGAGCGUGUUGUUUAAUUGGACGAUAAGCCAAAAACCUCACCAAGGUUUGACAUCCUCAGAAGCACUACGAAAGUAGAGUGUGCCUUUUGGAACUGAGUGACAGGUGAUGCAUGGCCGUCGUCAGCUCGUGUCGUGAGAUGUUGGGUUAAGUCCCUCAACGAGCGCAACCCUUAUGUUUAGUUGGAUUUUUCUAAACAGACUGCCUCGGUAACGGGGAGGAAGGAGGGGAUGACGUCAGGUCCGUAUUUCCCUUACACCUUGGGCUACAAACACGCUACAAUGGCCGGCACAAUGGGCUGCCAACCCGCGAGGGGGAGCAAAUCCCAUCAAAACCGGUCCCAGUUCGGAUAGCAGGCUGAAACUCGCCUGCUUGAAGUCGGAAUCGCUAGUAACCGUAGGUCAGCACACUACGGUGAAUACGUUCCCGGGUCUUGUACACACCGCCCGU